GACGAACGCUGGCGGCGUGCCUAAUACAUGCAAGUCGAGCGGACAGAUGGGAGCUUGCUCCCUGAUGUUAGCGGCGGACGGGUGAGUAACACGUGGGUAACCUGCCUGUAAGACUGGGAUAACUCCGGGAAACCGGGGCUAAUACCGGAUGGUUGUUUGAACCGCAUGGUUCAAACAUAAAAGGUGGCUUCGGCUACCACUUACAGAUGGACCCGCGGCGCAUUAGCUAGUUGGUGAGGUAACGGCUCACCAAGGCAACGAUGCGUAGCCGACCUGAGAGGGUGAUCGGCCACACUGGGACUGAGACACGGCCCAGACUCSKMCGGGAGGCAGCAGUAGGGAAUCUUCCGCAAUGGACGAAAGUCUGACGGAGCAACGCCGCGUGAGYGAUGAAGGUUUUCGGAUCGUAAAGCUCUGUUGUUAGGGAAG
rnacentral:rRNA from 1 species